CCCCUCCACAUCGCGCGCAGACGCAGACACCUCCCCGGCCUUCCAGCGCUCCCGGGGCCGCACGGUACCCGCAGAGGGGAACGAAAAGGGCGGGAAAUGGGGGCACACGCGCGAGGUGUUAGUGGUCCUGCGCCACAGCAGAUGCUGAGGGGAAAUAAGGAAAAAUGCCUCCAGGAGCUGGGGCUGCAUGGAGAAAAGACACACUCCGUCUAUCACACCUCUUCUGCUAAAACAAAUGGCAAGAUCUGGCAACAGCGAAAACUGCAGGUUUGGAGGUGCCAAAGGUUACCCCCGCCAGCAGCCGCCUCUGUGGACAGCCACCAAACUAGAGCUGUGCUCCUCACAGACUUCUCCCUAGGACUGCAAUCAAUCCAUCACCUUUGAAUAGAGCUAUGACUUCAAGUUUGGCUGUCUCCGGAGCAACUUAGUUACAGUGGAGAAUAUUGCUGAAUUUAAAGCAUCAUCAAUACCUAGAGAACAAAGGAAGCAGUAUUGGACUAGAGGAGAGAGCCUGACUGAAAGAGGUUCAACCAGUAAGACUGCUGGAACGUGUGGUGAGAGAGACACACCUUUGCUUUAUAUUAAUUUGGCUUGUUAAGUCAGGUGUUAGCUGUGUUUUGCUGUUUAUUUCCUUGAAACUGAUUCUGACUUAUAUGCCUCAUUACGUGUAGUCACUUAAAGUUUAUCUUCCUGUAGUUAAUAAAAAGUAUUUUGUUGUUUUAUCUAAAAGUGUGUUUGGAUUGAAGUGUUUGGGAAACUCCAUUUGGGAUAACAAGAUUUGUGCAUGUCAUUAUUAACAGAAAAUGAUAACUUUAUAUGAGCUUGUGUUGUCCAAGAGGGUGCUGGGCGGUACAAUUUCUGGGGGGAAAUCUGGAACUUGGGAGUUUGCUGGUGUUGCUCUGAAGUGUAAUACAUGAGUGGGUCAUGAUAGCACUCAUACAGUAUAGCUGGCAAUGAGUUACAUAGUGGAGGCUGUUUGAGAGCAGACUAGCAGUGGUUGGUCUUGCAGCAAAGCAGUGUAAAAGGCACCCCAGGUUGGGGAAUUGAGGGGGGAGUGUUAUCAGUCCAGAUUGUACCCUGGGUAAUUUCACAGUGGCUUAAGUGGAAAAACUGAAUUUGAAAAGUAACUGAUAAGGUAGGAGGAAAAGUGCUUGGGGAAAAAAGGUCACACUCAGAAAUCAUUCUUACUACUUUGAACAAUGUAGUGUUUAACCUGUAGUAAUCCCAAACUAGCCAAAACCUGGUUUUUAGCUAAAAUAGUAAGAGUCAGUAUGGCAUCACUUGUUUGUUGCACUGUGUAAAAAGAACCAGACUUGCAAUGGGUACUUAUCAGAUCCUACCUGAUUAUGCUUGAGCAGGUCAGGAUGAGAGAGCUAUCCCCAAUACUAAUCCUUUCAUGAGUAUUCUGAUCAAAUGCUUAGGAAUGUUUGUUACUGUAUGGAUGUAGCAAUUGCUUAUUUAGACAUGCUUUGAGCAAUUGUACAAAUACCAUUCAGCCUUUACAAUGAAUAAAGGAAUUUAUGGUUGAAUUGGGAUCAUAGUGGUAUGGGAAUAAGCAAUGAUAUCAAUAAACUUUCGACAGGAACAGACUGCAAAACCCAGUUAUGAUUCAACCUGAUGCUAUUCUGAACCAAAAGAACUCUCCACCAUGCUUGUAGCUGUUUCCAUUGCUUCCCCACUCACUCUGACAUUCUAGGCUUCAGAGUAACACACAGAACAAGAAUCCUGGAAUAUUAUAUAGAUUGCAACUUGUUUUUAUUAUAUAAUUUUUUUCUAGUUUGCGUUACCAGUUUAAGUAUACAAUUAUUGAUGUUUGUAAAUGAAAGUGUAAAUAAAAUGUUAAAAAUACAUAGAGAAUCUUUUCUCAGAGAAGCUUAAAUGAAAAAGCAAAAUUAUAAAGCAAGGCACCACUCUACAGUGAGAAAUUUGGAUGUGUAAUAGGCUGACAGUAAGGGAAGACUUCCCUGUGGGAAGAAUUUCAUAGAAGAAACAUAUGGAUGCUACAUAAGCAGAAAAUUCAAAACCCUUUAUUAGUAGAACUUGUGCAAAAUACAAUAUUAGAGUCAAAGUGUUGCAGAAGAAUAGGGGAACUCAGUGAUUCAUUGCCUGCAGUGAUUUAUUGCCAAAUAUUAAUAUGAUUAACCUGUUGAAUUGGAGAUAUUUAUGAAGUCACUGGGAGGUGAACUAUCUGCUUCAAUUACCUUUGGUAAAUAAAAUAACCAAACAAUCAGUUAUUCUCUGAUAUAGCUGUAAAACUAAUCUGAAAAGUUUUCAAAAUAAAUCACUUUAAAAAUGUAUAGUGCGUACCUUCUAAAAAUAAAAUCUACAUCUCUUUCUGAAGAAUAAGUUUUAAGGUUAUACCAAUCAACAAGAAUGUACUUUUAUGUAUUUCAGAGUAGCAGCCGUGUUAGUCUGUAUUCGCAAAAAGAAAAGGAGUACUUGUGGCAC